rnacentral:rRNA from 1 species
AUUGAACGCUGGCGGCAUGCCUUACACAUGCAAGUCGGACGGCAGCGCGGGGGCAACCCUGGCGGCGAGUGGCGAACGGGUGAGUAAUACAUCGGAACGUGUCCUGGAGUGGGGGAUAGCCCGGCGAAAGCCGGAUUAAUACCGCAUACGCUCUAUGGAGGAAAGCGGGGGAUCUUCGGACCCCGCGCCCAAGGCGCGGCCGAUGGCGGAUUAGGUAGUUGGUGGGGUAAAGGCCCACCAAGGCGACGAUCCGGAGCUGGUCUGAGAGGACGACCAGCCACACUGGGACUGAGACACGGCCCAGACUCCUACGGGAGGCAGCAGUGGGGAAUUUUGGACAAUGGGCGCAAGCCUGAUCCAGCAAUGCCGCGUGUGUGAAGAAGGCCUUCGGGUCGUAAAGCACUUUUGUCCGGAAAGAAAACUUCGUCCCUAAUAUGGAUGGAGGAUGACGGUACCGGAAGAAUAAGCACCGGCUAACUACGUGCCAGCAGCCGCAGUAAAAC